UGAUACGUAUUGCUGUACGUAUAAGGCGAUACGUAGAGCAAUAGCUUGACAGGUUUGGAAGUUUUGUUGAACUCCUCUGAUUUAACUUGGCUACAAUUUAAAACAAAUCACGAAUCUGUAUAUUUUUUAUCUCUGGAUUUUUGUCUUGUGUCAACAGGAAAUCCAACACAAACAGUUAAUUUUCAUAACUUUGACCUGUUUAACAAAUAAAAGUCCGAUUUUGAUCCA